rnacentral:rRNA from 1 species
UACGAAGGGUGCAAGCGUUACUCGGAAUUACUGGGCGUAAAGCGUGCGUAGGUGGUGAGUUAAGUCUGUCGUGAAAGCCCCGGGCUCAACCUGGGAAUGGCGAUGGAUACUGGCUCGCUAGAGUGCGGUAGAGGGGAGUGGAAUUCCCGGUGUAGCAGUGAAAUGCGUAGAGAUCGGGAGGAACAUCAGUUGCGAAGGCGGCUCUCUGGACCAGCACUGACACUGAGGCACGAAAGCGUGGGGAGCAAACAGG